rnacentral:rRNA from 1 species
UGCGCAGGCGGUUUUGUAAGUCUGAUGUGAAAUCCCCGGGCUCAACCUGGGAAUUGCAUUGGAGACUGCAAGGCUAGAAUCUGGCAGAGGGGGGUAGAAUUCCACGUGUAGCAGUGAAAUGCGUAGAUAUGUGGAGGAACACCGAUGGCGAAGGCAGCCCCCUGGGUCAAGAUUGACGCUCAUGCACGAAAGCGUGGGGAGCAAACAGGAUUAGAUACCCUGGUAGUCCACGCCCUAAACGAUGUCUACUAGUUGUCGGGUCUUAAUUGGCUUGGUAACGCAGCUAACGCGUGAAGUAGACCGCCUGGGGAGUACGGUCGCAAGAUUAAA